CCUACGGGAGGCAGCAGUGGGGGAUAUUGCACAAUGGGGGGAACCCUGAUGCAGCGAAGCCGCGUGGGUGAAGGAGCGUUUCGGCGCGUAAAGCCCUAUCGGCAGGGAAGAAGGAGGACGGUACCUGACUAAGAAGCCCCGGCUAACUACGUGCCAGCAGCCGCGGUCAUACGUAGGGGGCAAGCGUUAUCCGGAUUUACUGGUUGUAAAGGGGGCGCAGACGGCAGCGCAAGCCAGGAGUGAAAGCCCGGGGCCCAACCCCGGGACUGCUCUUGGAACUGCGCGGCUGGAGGGCAGGAGGGGCAGGCGGAAUUCCUGGGGGAGCGGUGAAAUGCGUAGAUAUCAGGAGGAACACCGGUGGCGAAGGCGGCCGGCUGGACUGCGACUGACGUUGAGGCCCGAAAGCGUGGGGAGCAAACAGGAUUAGAUACCCUUGUAGUC
rnacentral:rRNA from 1 species